rnacentral:rRNA from 1 species
UACGUAGGUGGCAAGCGUUGUCCGGAAUUAUUGGGCGUAAAGCGCGCGCAGGUGGUUCUUUAAGUCUGAUGUGAAAGCCCCCGGCUCAACCGGGGAGGGUCAUUGGAAACUGGGGAACUUGAGUGCAGAAGAGGAUAGUGGAAUUCCAAGUGUAGCGGUGAAAUGCGUAGAGAUUUGGAGGAACACCAGUGGCGAAGGCGACUGUCUGGUCUGUAACUGACACUGAGGCGCGAAAGCAUGGGGAGCAAACAGG